AGCAGCCGCGGUAAUUCCAGCUCCAAUAGCGUAUAUUAAAGUUGCUGCAGUUAAAAAGCUCGUAGUUGAAUUUCGGGAUCAUCAUGUCGGUCGUGCCUCGGUACGUACUGGUAUUGUUGGUUUCUCCCUUCUGACGAACCAUGAUGUCAUUUAUUUGGUGUUGUGGGGAAUCAGGACUGUUACUUUGAAAAAAUUAGAGUGUUUAAAGCAGGCUCACGCUUGAAUACAUUAGCAUGGAAUAAUGAAAUAGGACGUUUGAUUCUAUUUUGUUGGUUUCUAGGAUCGACGUAAUGAUUAAUAGGGAUAGUUGGGGGCAUUAGUAUUCAAUUGUCAGAGGUGAAAUUCUUGGAUUUAUUGAAGACUAACUACUGCGAAAGCAUUUGCCAAGGAUGUUUUCAUUAAUCAAGAACGAAAGUUAGGGGAUCGAAGACGAUCAGAUACCGUCGUAGUCUUAACCAUAAACUAUGCCGACUAGGGAUCGGAUGAUGUUAAUUUUUAAUGACUCAUUC
rnacentral:rRNA from 1 species